rnacentral:rRNA from 1 species
AUACGGAAGGUCCGGGCAUUAUCCGGAUUUAUUGGGUUUAAAGGGAGCGUAGGCUGCCCGGCAAGCGUGCUGUGAAAUACAGUGGCCCAACCACUGGACUGCAGCGCGAACUGUCGGGCUUGGGGGCGCACGACGCAGGCGGAAUUUGUGGUGUAGCGGUGAAAUGCUUAGAUAUCACGAAGAACCCCGAUUGCGAAGGCAGCUUGCGGGAGCGCGACUGACGCUGAAGCUCGAAAGUGCGGGUAUCAAACAGGAUUAGAUACCCUGGUAGUCCGCACGGUAAACGAUGGAUGCCCGUUCUGCGGCCUUCGGGCCGCGGGACCAAGCGAAAGCAUUAAGCAUCCCACCUGGGGAGUACGCCGGCAACGGUGAA